rnacentral:rRNA from 1 species
GAAGCAUGACCGUAAGGACAUGUGGACAGUAUGGGAGUGAGAAUGUUGGCAUGAGUAGCGAGAUGUGGGUGAGAAUCCCACAGGCCGUAAACCCAAGGUUUCCAGGGGAAGGUUCGUCCGCCCUGGGUUAGUCGGAACCUAAGCUGAGGCCGAAAGGCGUAGGUGAUGGACAACAGGUUGAUAUUCCUGUACUACCGAUAACCAUUUGAGAGAAGGGAUGACACAGUAGGAUAAGCUAAGCACACUGUUGGUUAUGUGUGCCCAAGCAUUGAGGCAGUCAAAGUAGGCAAAUCCGCUUUGAUAAU